AGUGAACGCUGGCGGUAGGCCUAACACAUGCAAGUCGAACGGCAGCACAGUAAGAGCUUGCUCUUACGGGUGGCGAGUGGCGGACGGGGGAGGAAUACAUCGGAAUCUACUUUUUCGUGGGGGGUAACGUAGGGAAACUUACGCUAAUACCGCAUACGACCUACGGGUGAAAGCAGGGGAUCUUCGGACCUUGCGCGAUUGAAUGAGCCGAUGUCGGAUUAGCUAGUUGGCGGGGUAAAGGCCCACCAAGGCGACGAUCCGUAGCUGGUCUGAGAGGAUGAUCAGCCACACUGGAACUGAGACACGGUCCAGACUCCUACGGGAGGCAGCAGUGGGGAAUAUUGGACAAUGGGCGCAAGCCUGAUCCAGCCAUACCGCGUGGGUGAAGAAGGCCUUCGGGUUGUAAAGCCCUUUUGUUGGGAAAGAAAAGCAGCAGGUUAAUACCCCGCUGUUCUGACGGUACCCAAAGAAUAAGCACCGGCUAACUUCGUG
rnacentral:rRNA from 1 species